CCUACGGGGGACAGCAGUGAGGAAUAUUGGUCAAUGGGCGUGAGCCUGAACCCGCCAAGUCGCGUGAGGGAAGACGGUCCUAUGGAUUGUAAACCUCUUUAGUCGGGGAGCAAUGCCGGGCACGUGUGCCCGGAGGGAGAGUACCCGCAGAAUAAGCAUCGGCUAACUCGGUCCCAGCAGCCGCGGUAGUAGGGAGGAUGCGACGUUUAUCCGGAUUUAUUGGGUUUAAGGGGUGCGUAGGCGGAUUUUUAAGUCAGCGGGAAAUUGUGCGGGACAAACCUGGGCCGGCAGGUGAAACUGGGUAGCUUGAGGGCGCGAGAAGUAGGCGGAAUGCGUGGUGUAGCGGUGAAAUGCAUAGAUAUCACGCAGAACUCCGAUUGCGAAGGCAGCAUACCGGCGCCCGACUGACGCUGAGGCACGAAAGCGUGGGGAUCGAACAGGAUUAGAUACCCGAGUAGUC
rnacentral:rRNA from 1 species